GGAAAGACUAGACUUGAAUUGUUAAAUUGUUGCUUGUUUGGAUCUUCAAGUUUAAACGAAAAAUGGGUUCAUAAUAAUUCUUUAUUUACUUUUGUAAUUUAUCUAGAAGAUUAUUAAGUUUUUUCUUAAAGAAUUGAGGCAUGACAAUAAUGAGCUUUAGUUGUGUAAUUUAUGUAAGUGGAAUUGUUAUAUUGAUAGUAAAGUAGUUAUCUUUUUUUAUCCUCCAUUGAAACUAAAAGAUGGGUUCAUGGUGGAGUGUUGUUUAUGGGUGUGAUUAUUAUUUUGAUGUUUAAUUUCUCACGUUGAAGCAAAAAAAGCAGUGAACUUUAUAGUUGUGUAAUCAUGUGACUUGUUGUGUUGAUAGUGAUUAGUUUUAUUAUUUGGAUUAUGUAGCCAGAGACGAGGUUUCAUUCAUUUACGGUGGAAGAUCGAUCAGGAGAGCAGUGGAUGAUAAUGAAGAUAUUAAACUUGAAGCUUCAAUGUUUGAUGGAUAUGUAACUGUUCCAAAACUUGGAGAUGUUGCCUCUGGUGAGAUUUGCGUCUUCACAUCAGUGUGAUUGUUGAUAUUUCCAGAGGGGAUGCUGGUGAAAAGUUGGAGUUUUUGUGCUCAGCGUGGCCUGAUCAUUUGGAGAUUCAGAAAGUUUACUUGCUUGGGCAUGAGAAGAUGUUGGGUAGCCUUUUAUGGGGCCUGAUUUCAGUUGAAGAGAGAGCUUCAGAAGACUCUUCGUGAGUACUUGGAGGCAAGGGGGGUAAAUGAUGAGCUUUCUUUCUUCUUGCAUGAAUAUAUGCUGAAUAAGCAUAGGAUUGAACUUAUUCAGUGGUUUGGAAAGGUCAAAUCUAUUGUAGAAAAACAGAGGGUUGUUUUUCAUGGUGCCCUUUAUGAGACAGGUUUGUUCAUUUUUUUGAAAAAACUCAUGAGACUGUUAUUCAGUAUGCAGUAGCAUGAAAAUGAAAUUCUAUUCUAGGAUUCCUGACCAA